UAAGUAAACUGGCGAACGGGUGAGUAACGCGUAAAUAACUUGCCUCAGAGAUUGGGACAACAUUGGGAAACCAGUGCUAAUACCAAAUAAUGCAGCGGGCUCUUCGGAGCAUUGUUGUUAAAGUAGGCUUCGGCUUACACUUUGAGAUAGGUUUGCGUCCGAUUAGUUUGUUGGUGGGGUAAUUGCCUACCAAGACUAAGAUCGGUAGCUGGUCUGAGAGGAUGAUCAGCCACACUGGAAUUGAGAUACGGUCCAGACUCCUACGGGAGGCAGCAGUAAGGAAUUUUGCACAAUGGGCGAAAGCCUGAUGCAGCAACGCCGCGUGAACGAUGAAGUUUUUAGGAAUGUAAAGUUCUGUCGUAUGGGAAGAGAUCUUUCGAAUGUUAAUACCAUUCGUUAAUGACGGUACCAUACAAGAAAGCACCGGCUAACUUCGUG
rnacentral:rRNA from 1 species